GGGCGUUAUGAGUCGAUUUGGAGGUUGUGCCCUUGAGGCGUGGCUUCCGAAGCUAACGCGUUAAAUCGACCGCCUGGGGAGUACGGCCGCAAGGUUAAAACUCAAAUGAAUUGACGGGGGCCCGCACAAGCGGUGGAGCAUGUGGUUUAAUUCGAUGCAACGCGAAGAACCUUACCUACUCUUGACAUCCAGCGAAUCCUGUAGAGAUACGGGAGUGCCUUCGGGAACGCUGAGACAGGUGCUGCAUGGCUGUCGUCAGCUCGUGUUGUGAAAUGUUGGGUUAAGUCCCGCAACGAGCGCAACCCUUAUCCUUUGUUGCCAGCGGUUCGGCCGGGAACUCAAAGGAGACUGCCAGUGAUAAACUGGAGGAAGGUGGGGAUGACGUCAAGUCAUCAUGGCCCUUACGAGUAGGGCUACACACGUGCUACAAUGGCGUAUACAAAGAGAAGCGACCUCGCGAGAGCAAGCGGACCUCAUAAAGUACGUCGUAGUCCGGAUUGGAGUCUGCAACUCGACUCCAUGAAGUCGGAAUCGCUAGUAAUCGUGGAUCAGAAUGCCACGGUGAAUACGUUUCCCGGGA
rnacentral:rRNA from 1 species